CCUUCCUGUUCCUGUGCUCCAGGUGUGAUGAGUGCCAGCUCUGUUAUCACUUCGGCUGUCUGGACCCCCCGCUGAAAAAGUCCCCCAAGCAGACCGGAUACGGCUGGAUCUGCCAGGAGUGUGACACAUCGUCGUCUAAGGAGGAGGAAGAGGAGCAGCAGCCAGAGGAGGAGUCAGUGAAAGAGGAGGCAGCGGCGCAGGAGUGAGCCGGAGGAGGCAGCAGCUUCUGCUCCAACCCUUCAGACUUUUCUCUUCAUCCUGCAGCAUAUUUCUACUCAACCAUCAGCAACCUCUUCUGCUCCACAACAUCAGUAACCCAGAAGAAAUGACGGGAUUAUUUUUGCUUUAAUGCAUAGAUUUUCUACUUUUUAUUGAUGAGCCUGAAGAAAUGAUCCAGAGGAGAACAAGCAGCAAGUUUACUCCAUAUAUGUCCGCCUGCAUUGCUGACUCUUUCCAUAAAAUCUAUUUUCCUACUUUAAUGUUCAGGAAGUGUCCUGUUUACAAACGGAAGCUUUAGCACAGCAUAGCGGAACGUUCUGCAAAUGCUUUUCAUUUCAAAUUUAACUGGAAGAUUUUUAUUUUAACACGUUUUCUUUUGCUUCCUCCUCUUCAGCUGUUAGUUGUUUCCUAACCUGUAACUCUUACUGCUUCUCUAGUUUUUUUUUUUUUUACUUUGAUAUGAAAUAUUAAAGAAAAACACUUGAGUGGUUUGAGCUGCCUGAGGUUCAGAUGUUUGGGCUUCACCUCAAUCAUCUCUCCUCAGAUUUAUCAGCAGAUUUCUGCUGCUGAAUAUUUUCCACAGUUAAAAAUCGCAGAUCAGCUGCUCUUUGUUUCUGAAACGAUGCAAAAUGAAUGAAAUGAUGACUUCAUCUUGUUGACUGUUAGCCUCAUGUUCCUUCAAUGUGACCAGAGCCACUGUCCAGCUGGAGACCGUUUAGACGUUCAGUCCUAUUAGAGAACAGAUCGGAUGUUUUCUUAUAUAUUAGAUACCAAUGCACAAUAAAUAUAUUCAACUCUU